rnacentral:tRNA from 2 species
GGGCCUGUAGUAUAAUGGUUAUUAUUUUCGGCUGGCAGUCGAGAGAUUCGGGUUCGAUCCCCGACAGGUCCA